UAGACAUAGAAUGAAAUUCAAAACAGUGUGGCUGUGGCCAUUGAUUGACACAUCAAAUUCAUCCAUUGACUGGGACAAUUUAGGUGAACGUUUGUAUGUAACGACCACUGCUCACUAUGUACUUUUUAAAGACACUUAAACUAUGGGGUCACCAAAGGUUCUCAACACCUUAAUAAAGUAAUUCGAAAAAUUAAUCAGAAAUAAAACGAUGUUUUGAUUUAUAUCAAUUAUAUAAAUCAAAACAUAAAGGUUAUUCCUGAUUAA
rnacentral:lncRNA from 1 species